rnacentral:rRNA from 1 species
AUUGAACGCUGGCGGCAUGCCUUACACAUGCAAGUCGAACGGCAGCACGGGUGCUUGCACCUGGUGGCGAGUGGCGAACGGGUGAGUAUUACAUCGGAACGUACCUUAUCGUGGGGGAUAACGCAGCGAAAGCUGUGCUAAUACCGCAUACGCCCUGAGGGGGAAAGCGGGGGAUCGCAAGACCUCGCGCGCUUAGAGCGGCCGAUGCCUGAUUAGCUUGUUGGUGGGGUAAAAGCCCACCAAGGCGACGAUCAGUAGCUGGUCUGAGAGGACGAUCAGCCACACUGGGACUGAGACACGGCCCAGACUCCUACGGGAGGCAGCAGUGGGGAAUUUUGGACAAUGGGGGCAACCCUGAUCCAGCAAUGCCGCGUGAGUGAAGAAGGCCUUCGGGUUGUAAAGCUCUUUUGUCAGGGAAGAAACGGGCGUGGCUAAUAUCCACGUCUAAUGACGGUACCUGAAGAAUAAGCACCGGCUAACUACGUGCCAGCAGCCGCCGUAA